AACAUCCUUCUAUGUAAAAAUAUAUGCACUUAUGAUUAUUCAAGAGAAAUUCAUAGAUGUGGAAGUUUUAAAACCAAAACUCUUCAAGCCUAUUGCCAUAAUACUCUCCUGAAAGGCUGCACCGUUUUGUGUGUUCCUGUAACUCUUUGCUCAUCGUCUGGAGUCUACCUCUCAGGAGCCGACCAUGCAUGGUGUCAGAACCGUACCUGAGAUUUCUCUAGAAUAACCCAAAGUAGAAGCAUAGUUAGGGGGAGCAGAGAUGAAACACGAUCAUCCACGAAUUGAUCACUGUUGAAGACGGGUGAGAGAAGUGUGGGCAUCGGUUACACCAAACUUUCCUCCUCUGAACACAUCCAAAUUUUUUCAUACCAAAUCCUUGUUUUAAAACUAUUUGCUGGUUGCUUUUUAUUUGCUGGAGAUACAGUCCUUAAUUUUUCUGAGAUUACUGAAAAGUAAUUGUGUCCAAUUUACAUUAUUUGCCCUGGCCACUGAAC
rnacentral:lncRNA from 1 species